rnacentral:rRNA from 1 species
AAGGAAUAUUGGGCAAUGGAGGCAACUCUGACCCAGCCGUGCCGCGUGAAGGAUGACGGCCCUAUGGGUUGUAAACUUCUUUUAUACGGGAAUAAACCCGGGUACGUGUACCCGGCUGAAUGUACCGUAAGAAUAAGGUUCGGCUAACUCCGUGCCAGCAGCCGCGGUAAUACGGAGGAUCCAAGCGUUAUCCGGAUUCAUUGGGUUUAAAGGGUGCGUAGGCGGAUUUGUAAGUCAGCGGUGAAAUCCUACAGCUCAACUGUAGAACUGCCGUUGAUACUGCAAGUCUUGAGUACAUUUGAUGUGGGCGGAAUGUGUCAUGUAGCGGUGAAAUGCUUAGAUAUGACACGGAACACCGAUUGCGAAGGCAGCUCACAAAACUGUAACUGACGCUGAGGCACGACAGCGUGGGGAUCAAAC